GACGAAUGCUGGCGGCAUGCCUAAUACAUGCAAGUCGAGCGAACAGAUGAAGUGCUUGCACUUCUGACGUUAGCGGCGAACGGGUGAGUAACACGUAAGGAAUCUACCUAUAAGCGGGGGAUAACAUUCGGAAACGGGUGCUAAUACCGCAUAAUAUCUUCUUCCGCAUGGAAGAGGAUUGAAAGACGGCUCUGCUGUCACUUAUAGAUGACCUUGCGGUGCAUUAGUUAGUUGGUGGGGUAAUGGCCUACCAAGACGAGGAUGCAUAGCCGACCUGAGAGGGUGAUCGGCCACAUUGGGACUGAGACACGGCCCAAACUCCUACGGGAGGCAGCAGUAGGGAAUCUUCCGCAAUGGGCGAAAGCCUGACGGAGCAAUGCCGCGUGAGUGAAGAAGGCCUUCGGGUCGUAAAACUCUGUUAUAAGAGAAGAACAAAUUGUAGAGUAACUGCUACAGUCUUGACGGUAUCUUAUCAGAAAGCCACGGCUAACUACGUGCCAGCCGCCGCAGUAA
rnacentral:rRNA from 1 species